AAAGUGGAAAACUGCAUUUCUCACAUUUGUGUGAAAACUUGUGAAGUGACAGCGACAAAAUUCUACAGCCAGACAACCUUCAACAGCAGGACACAGUAACUCAAGGUAUUAAGGAAAUCCUAAGAAACCAAAAGGUGCUGAUGACAAGGAUGGAUGACAUUGAGAAAACUCUCAAAGAAAAUGUUAUUGAUAAAGGUCUUCUAUUGGCUCACACACACGCUGCGCGAAUGUAAGGUGGUUUUAGCUAAAGUCCAUCACUCCAUUGGACGAUUGGUAGGAGAAAUAGAAAAUCCCAUGCAAAUUGAAAUAGCGUCAAGACUACCAAUCUGCACACUAGACGCCGCGCUGGAUUUCGUAGAUAAACUAAAUUCCAAAGAGUUUGCUGACGAAACGGUAAUUUUUUGCUCUUACUAUUUUAUUAUUAAAAAUAUAUUAAAUAUAC